rnacentral:rRNA from 1 species
GAUGAACGCUGGCGGCGUGCCUAAUACAUGCAAGUCGAGCGAACAGAUGAGGAGCUUGCUCCUCUGACGUUAGCGGCGGGCGGGUGAGUAACACGUGGAUAACCUACCUAUAAGACUGGGAUAACUUCGGGAAACCGGAGCUAAUACCGGAUAAUAUAUUGAACCGCAUGGUUCAAUAGUGAAAGACGGUUUUGCUGUCACUUAUAGAUGGAUCCGCGCCGCAUUAGCUAGUUGGUAAGGUAACGGCUUACCAAGGCAACGAUGCGUAGCCGACCUGAGAGGGUGAUCGGCCACGCUGGAACUGAGACACGGUCCAGACUCCUACGGGAGGCAGCAGUAGGGAAUCUUCCGCAAUGGGCGAAAGCCUGACGGAGCAACGCCGCGUGAGUGAUGAAGGUCUUCGGAUCGUAAAACUCUGUUAUUAGGGAAGAACAAAUGUGUAAGUAACUAUGCACGUCUUGACGGUACCUAAUCAGAAAGCCACGGCUAACUACGUG